UGAGGAAUAUUGGUCAAUGGGCGAGAGCCUGAACCAGCCAAGUAGCGUGCAGGAUGACGGCCCUAUGGGUUGUAAACUGCUUUUAUAUGGGAAUAAAGUGAGGGACGUGUCCCUUAUCGCAUGUACCAUACGAAUAAGGACCGGCUAAUUCCGUGCCAGCAGCCGCGGUAAUACGGAAGGUCCAGGCGUUAUCCGGAUUUAUUGGGUUUAAAGGGAGCGUAGGCUGUUUGUUAAGCGUGUUGUGAAAUGUAAGAGCUCAACUUUUAGAUUGCAGCGCGAACUGGCAGACUUGAGUGCGCACAACGUAGGCGGAAUUCAUGGUGUAGCGGUGAAAUGCUUAGAUAUCAUGACGAACUCCGAUUGCGAAGGCAGCUUACGGGAGCGCAACUGACGCUAAAGCUCGAAGGUGCGGGUAUCGAACAGG
rnacentral:rRNA from 1 species